GAUUGAACGCUGGCGGCAGGCUUAACACAUGCAAGUCGAACGGUAGCAGGGAGAAAGCUUGCUUUCUUUGCUGACGAGUGGCGGACGGGUGAGUAAUGCUUGGGAAUCUGGCUUAUGGAGGGGGAUAACUGUGGGAAACUGCAGCUAAUACCGCGUAUUAUCGGAAGAUGAAAGGGUGGGACCUUCGGGCCACCUGCCAUAAGAUGAGCCCAAGUGGGAUUAGGUAGUUGGUGGGGUAAGGGCCUACCAAGCCGACGAUCUCUAGCUGGUCUGAGAGGAUGACCAGCCACACUGGGACUGAGACACGGCCCAGACUCCUACGGGAGGCAGCAGUGGGGAAUAUUGCGCAAUGGGGGGAACCCUGACGCAGCCAUGCCGCGUGAAUGAAGAAGGCCUUCGGGUUGUAAAGUUCUUUCGGUAAUGAGGAAGGGGKAUUAUUGAAUAGAUAAUAUCAUUGACGUUAAUUACARAAGAAGCACCSG
rnacentral:rRNA from 1 species